CUGCCCGUAGCUCAGUUGGAUAGAGCAACAACCUUCUAAGUUGUGGGUCACAGGUUCGAUUCCUGUCGGGCAGGCCA
rnacentral:tRNA from 1 species